AAUCAUAAAUCUGUGAAUUUGGAGGGAAGCCUGUUGGUUCAGCACCUGCAAAAAAAAAAAAAGAGUCCAGGCUUUCAAUAAAGAUCAGGAAGCUCUAACCAAAGUUCUAUAUGAGCAAUUCAAGGACCA